rnacentral:rRNA from 1 species
GAGAAAAGAAAAGGAAGUGACGGUUCGUGCGUUGCCGUCCACAUGAAGGCUUGAAACCCACACACGCCAUCUCUCUCUCGUUUCCUCUGCUUCAGCCCCAGGACCCGCGUCGCCGCCGUCCCGCCUCCUCUCCUCCUUGCCUCGUUCUGGUGGUCUCCUCUUCCCCGGCUCUCCCGCCGCCGCUAUCCUAGUCCUUCCUCCUUGCCUCUUCCCACAAUCCCCUCUGCCCUGUUCUGGAGUGGCCUCCUCCUCCUCUGUUCGAUCUCCCUCGCCGGCCUCGCGAAAUCCUCGAAUCGUUCGGUGGUCAGCGAGCGAUGUGGAAAAGCAAUAGCGUUUCUUCACCGUGCUAGGUUGGCCGGCCGGUGCCGGUGGAUAUGGUUCGAGGAGGUCGUCGGCGACGCGCUGCCGAAGCGGGAUCUGCUCCCGGCGGUAUGGGGCACGCUCGUGCAAGAGAACGGCGGCCGCAGCGGGGAGCGUCUGGGGAGAUUUGCGUCGACCUGGACUUGUGUUGGGCAGCUGGCGAGGGACGCUUCAAGGGGUUAGUAGCAAAGAUGAGUUCAUCGGCAGGGUGAAGGAAGCCGUCAGAGGUUUCUAUGAACUAUGCUGCUCCUUCCCUCAGUUUAGCGAUGUUGUUUUUAAUAAUCUUGUUGCUUAGUACAACAGAUAAGCAUCUUUUGAGACUUGUUCUCUAAACAUGUAAGCAUUGUGGGCAGUGGGUACGCAGGGGAGGUUCGAACAAUGAUUUUUUGGGUGAUGAUUUCCCCGUUACUGGUUG